rnacentral:lncRNA from 1 species
GUUUGGUGUUAUUCACCGAUCUCACAUCACAAACGGGUCUGGCUAAUCAUUUAGGAGUAGACUAUAGCAUGUUGAUUGUUCAUAGCGUUUCAAGGGAGCAAUUGAGAAAGGCUGGUUUAUCUCAAACGUCUCGAUGAAACCCGCGAUUGGUGGUGUGUGAGGUCGUUAGGUACAUCAGUGCACAGAAACUUGCAGUCUGAGGAGCUUGAAGUGUCAUGUUGUGUGUUGUUUGAAGAGAACAUUUAAUAUUAUGCAUUUUAAAACAAUAUGGUUUUGGUU